rnacentral:lncRNA from 1 species
UAAAGGAUAUAAGUGCAGAACUCCCAAGAUUUACUUCCUUCCUGAUCUGUCCAGCCAGGAUACCUGAGGCAAAAUCCAUCUGCUGAAGGAAACUACUCUAUUGCUCUCUCCAGAAGAAAACCUUGUCUUUGAUAUUGAAGUGUUAUGAAGGAAUGAAAAAAUCUGUAAAAUGACA